rnacentral:rRNA from 1 species
GUGCCAGCAGCCGCGGUAAUACGUAGGGGGCAAGCGUUGUCCGGAAUCAUUGGGCGUAAAGAGCGUGUAGGUGGACUGGAAGGUCUGGUGUGAAAGCCCGGGGCUCAACCCCGGAGGGUCACUGGAAACCAACAGUCUUGAGUCCGGAAGAGGAGAGUGGAAUUCCUGGUGUAGCGGUGGAAUGCGCAGAUAUCAGGAGGAACACCGAUGGCGAAGGCAGCUCUCUGGUACGUGACUGACACUGAGACGCGAAAGCGUGGGGAGCGAACAGGAUUAGAUACCCUGGUAGUCCACGCCGUAAACGAUGGGCGCUAGGUGUGGGGGGUGUCGACUCCCUCCGUGCCGAAGCUAACGCAUUAAGCGCCCCGCCUGGGGAGUACGGCCGCAAGGCUAAA